rnacentral:ncRNA from 1 species
GUUCUUUUUUGUCCACUUUUACAAUAUAAAUGUAAGAGAGAAAAAAUAUGUACUCAUACUAGCAAGUUUUGUAUGAAUGCAACUAUUCCCAUGGCCCAUUAGGAUCUGGUAUUCUUUUGGGUAUUACUAAUUUAACAACGAAAAAGACAUACACAAAUUGUAGACGACUUUUAUAUCUUAAGGUGCUGUAAACAUGAAAGUAAACCUUGUUUUACGAUCUGUUGAGGCUAAUCCUUUAUGAUAAAGUGU